UACGAAGGGGGCUAGCGUUGCUCGGAAUUACUGGGCGUAAAGGGAGCGUAGGCGGAUAGUUUAGUCAGAGGUGAAAGCCCAGGGCUCAACCUUGGAACAGCCUUUGAUACUGGCUAUCUUGAGUACGGGAGAGGUGAGUGGAACUCCGAGUGUAGAGGUGAAAUUCGUAGAUAUUCGGAAGAACACCAGUGGCGAAGGCGACUCACUGGCCCGUUACUGACGCUGAGGCUCGAAAGCGUGGGGAGCAAACAGG
rnacentral:rRNA from 1 species